AAGUGUUCUCAGGUGGUCUUUUAGUCGGAUGUCAAAGCCUGAAGCUUAACUUCAGUCAGGUAUUCGAUACUGGAAGACUCGAGAUAUUGAGAGGCAAGUGGAAUUCUGCGUGUAGGGGUAAAAUCCGUUGAUACGCAGAGGAACACCAAAAGCGAAAGCAGCUUGCUGGCAAUUUUCUGACACUUAUGAACGAAAGCGUGGGGAGCGAAAAGGAUUAGAUACCCUUGUAGUCCACGCCCUAAACUAUGAUUACUAGGUGUAGGUUCGGCUCGACCUGAAUCUGUGCCGUCGCAAACGCAUUAAGUAAUCCGCCUGGGUAGUACGGUCGCAAGACUAAAACUCAAAGGAAUAGACGGGAGCCCACACAAGCGGAGGAGCAUCUGGUUUAAUUCGAUAACAAACGAGGAACCUUACCAAGGCUUGACAUCUAGAGAAUCUCUCCGAAAGGAGAGAGUGCCGCAAGGAGCUCUAAGACAGGUGCUGCAUGGUUGUCGUCAGCUCGUGCCUUGAGGUGUUCGGUUAAGUCCGUCAACGAGCGCAACCCUCGUCUUGUGUUGCAUAUUCACAAGAGACUGCCCCGGCCAACGGGGAGGAAGGUGGGGAUGACGUCAAAUCAGCAUGGCCCUUAUGCCUUGGGCCACACAGGUGCUACAAUGGUCGGUACAAUGGGGAGCAAAGGAGUAAUCCGAAGCAAAUCCUAAAAAACCGAUCUAAGUUCGGAUUGAGGGCUGCAACUCGCCCUCAUGAAGCUGGAUUCGCUAGUAAACGCGUAUCAGCCAUGGCGCGUUGAAUAUGUUCCUGGGCUUUGUACUCACCGCCCGUCAAGCUAUGGAAAGGAAAGGGCAUCUGAAGUUCCACUUUCGUGGACCUAGGGUGAAACUUCUGACUGGAGCUAAGUCGUAACAAGGUAA
rnacentral:rRNA from 1 species